rnacentral:rRNA from 1 species
GUGAGUAGUUCAGAGUUUGAUCCUGGCUCAGGAUGAACGCUGGCGGCGCGCUUAACACAUGCAAGUCGAACGAAGCACUUAAGACGGAGUCUUCGGACAAAGUCUUCUGUGACUUAGUGGCGGACGGGUGAGUAACGCGUGGGUAAUCUGCCUUGUACAGGGGGACAACAGUUGGAAACGACUGCUAAUACCGCAUAAGCGCACAGUGUCGCAUGACACGGUGCGAAAAGAUUUAUCAGUACAAGAUGAGCCCGCGUCUGAUUAGCUAGUUGGUGAGGUAAAGGCUUACCAAGGCGACGAUCAGUAGCCGACUUGAGAGAGUGAUCGGCCACAUUGGGACUGAGACACGGCCCAA